GACGUAGGGGGCGAGCGUUGUCCGGAAUUACUGGGCGUAAGGAGCACGUAGGCGGGAACCUAAGUCAGGUGUGAAAGACCGUGGCUCAACCACGGGGUGGCAUUUGAAACUGGGUUUCUUGAGGGCAGGAGAGGAAAGCAGAAUUCCUGGUGUAGCGGUGAAAUGCUUAGAUAUUACACAGAACACCAAUUGCGUAGGCAGCUUACUGAGCCGACACUGACGCUGAGGCACGAAAGCGUGGGGAUCGAACAGGAUUAGAUACCCUGGUAGU
rnacentral:rRNA from 1 species